UACGAAGGGGGCUAGCGUUGCUCGGAAUUACUGGGCGUAAAGGGCGCGUAGGCGGGUUAUCAAGUUGGAGGUGAAAGCCCAGGGCUCAACCUUGGAAUUGCCUUCAAAACUGAUAGCCUAGAGUAUGGAAGAGGUAAGUGGAACUCCGAGUGUAGAGGUGAAAUGCGUAGAUAUCAAGAGGAACACCAGUGGCGAAGGCGAGUCCCUGGACAACACCUGACACUGAGGCACGAAAGCUAGGGGAGCAAACAGG
rnacentral:rRNA from 1 species